AAAGGAAGCAAACAAAAGGAAUUCAGAAUGGAAUGGUUUCUAAUAAUCUAAUACAAUUUAACUGCUCCUCGCAGCUAUAGCUUGCACACUUUUUAAUUUUUUCUUCUUACGAGUAUUGUUUUCUUCUUCUUCUUUGUGCUUCUUUUCCCUUUCGGCUUUAUGCAGACGACAAGGAAGAGGUAUCAACGGAUGCAGACAAGGAAGAGGUAUCAACGGAGAAUGACUUCU
rnacentral:ribozyme from 1 species